UGUGGCUCGUUUGGAUAUGAAAUUAGUUGUUAAUCUUGAUUUGUUUGUAGACGCUCGAGAGGGGUCAGAAAGUACCUCAAGAUGAAGUCUUCAAGAUUACUCACACGAGGAAGGCGAAGAACGCCGAUGGUACGGACCAAUGGAUUGAGCCAAGGGCUCAGCAAACCUAUACCGAGUUUCAAUAACACAAGUUGGAAUAUUGUGCCAGUCAGCUAGCCGGGACGUCGAUGACCAACGAGAUAAUUGAUCAGCAGUGGAUGGAGAAGGUAGCUCCCCCGACAAGGUAUGGGACAGUUUAUGGGAUGCCUAAUCGAGCCUGUCGUCAAUUUCCGUUGUUCCUUCAAGGCGUAGGUGCUACUUCUGAAGGGGUAAUGGAUCCUAAGGAGUACCAAGAAAUGAAGCAUAAAGUUACUCAACUAACAAGUACACUUAGUGCCACGGACGCAAGGAUGUUGCAUAUGCAGGCCCAAAUAGACAGCUUACUCAAUUCGGGGACCUCUCAUAUUUCCCCGUGUCUCGGGGAUGCUCGUAGGUCACAGCCCAGUAGACGACGUAGGUCACAGGCCAACGUAGUUCAUGCUCUUGUUGAUGAGGAUAGUGGAGAGAAAUCGGAUCAUGUCUCUAACACCCAACGUUGACUUUUUUGAUUCGUAUACUUUUUGAUUCUAACAUUGCUAUGUUUUCUUGGAUAUUUAUAUGAUAUUUGAUUGUAGUUUUAAUUCGAAUUAGAUGUACUUUUGAAGGUGAAUUUGAUUGUAGAAAGUAGUUUAUGGUUGUUUAACUUUACUAUGUUUAAGUGUUUGAAUGUAGAAAGUAGUUUAUGGUUGUUUAACUUUACGAUGUUUAAGUGUUUGAAUGUAGUUUUAAGGAUAUUUAGAAGUACUUUGAAUUUGAUAGUGAAUGUGUUGUAAUGUCGCAUUGUUGAUGAAUUAGAUGUGUUGCAGAAUAAUGUUGAUUUGGUUGAA